AUGGUUUCUAACCUAUUUUUCUACUCCUCUAAUCUCCAUACUUAUAUUGCAAAACCUAUCCUAUAACUUACAAAGCAGAUAUCCCCUCGUACCUUUUGCAUCAUGGUUUAACAAGACCUCACAGAACUUCUUACACCACGAAACUAAUCUAGAGCUAAACUCUCCUUGUUAAGAACUCAUUCUAUGCUGUUGCAUAAUCAAGAAAAAAGGACUUUUUAGCAGCUACAUACCUACCGCGUUUAGUGAUAGCUUGUUUCUUAUAAAAUUUAUUUCAGUAAAAUAAGCUAACAAAAUACACCUAACAACCCACCAUAACUUAGCUAUAUUAAUAAAGUAAAGAAAACCUUACUUUAUCCCUUUACACAACCUCUUUAAUCUCCCCCCAGGCUUUGAAACAGCCAUUGCCAUCAAAAACGUUUUUGUUUUAUAUAACAAAUUCCUUAACUUAUGUGUACAAAUUUAAAUAAGAUAACAUAAAUAACUUCCCCUUAUCUCAAAUAAUGUAUAAAAUUAGUAUUUCUUAGCUAUUUUCCUAUAUCACUACUUUUUUCCCUUCACCUCAUUUCAAGAUCCAACUCUUUCUUAAGGAACUCGGCAACCCAAGGCCUUGCCUGUUUACUAAAAACAUGUCUUCUAGAAUAAACAUUAAUUAGAAGUCCGACCUGCCCAGUGAAAAGUUAAACGGCCGCGGUAGCCUGACCGUGCUAAGGUAGCGCAAUCACUUGCCUUUUAAUUGGAGGCUAGUAUGAAUGGUCAGACAAGGGCCUACCUGUCUCAAAAAAGACACUAUAAAUUGACCUUCGGGUGCAGAGGCCCGAAUAUAAAUAAAAGACGAGAAGACCCUAUCGAGCUUUAAUCUCAAUUAAUUUAUAAGCAUAAUAUAGAUUUUUGUUGGGGCAACAAAGGGGCAAGCAAAAUCCCCUUUUUCUUUUCCGGCAACAAGCUGUUAAUUGAAAAUAAUUUCUUAUACUCAAUAAACAUUAAUUUCAUAACAAAAGAUAUCAGCUACCGUAGGGAUAACAGACUAAUGUCUCUUCAGAGUUCUAAUCGACAGAGACGCUUGGCACCUCGAUGUUGGCUUAGGAACCCAGUCGCGAAGCAGCACUCCGACCUAGUAGGCUUGUUCAGCCUUUAAUUUCCUACAUGAGCUGAGUUUAGACCGACGUAAGUCAGGUCAGUUUCUAUCUUUAUUUUUACUACUUUUUUGUUCGUACGAAAGGAUUUCAAAAAAGAAAGUUUUUCUUCCCGAUGAAUCUUUAUAACAUACUCUUAUUU
rnacentral:rRNA from 1 species